rnacentral:tRNA from 3 species
GCUGAGGUGCCGGAGCCUGGAAAACGGAGCUGUCUGUAAAACAGCUGCUCGCUCGAGCUACGGGGGUUCAAAUCCCUCCCUCAGCA